rnacentral:lncRNA from 1 species
GGAGAACCGCCUUCAGGCGUUUGGACUCAGUGGAGGUUGUGAGUGCCCAGCAGUGUGGCCUGAAUCUCCGUGGGGUUUAGGGAGACGAAAGGACCCCAGAUCGACGUCCCCUCGUUCCCACUUUGGGGAUCGGCGCUCUGGCUGUUUCGUGAAGGAGAGAGAGGUGGGUCUCUUCUGGCCCCAGUGAGUGUGGUGUCCUGCUCCAGGGUGUCCCGGGGCUACUUUCCCUGUAAAGGCGGGACGCGGGAGGAUGAGACAGGUAAAGACCCUCUCUGAGCCCAGUUUCCCACUCUGUAAAAUGGAAAUAAAAAUGCUCACCCACAGGAUUGCUGAAACCUUCAGUGAUAACAUAGGUGCAAGACGAUAGCCCUGUGGUUAUUGCAGGAUCAGGAAUGCCUGUAUGAAGUCAGGCCUCUUCUUGUUCUGUUUCAAACUUUCUUACAGUAUAGACAAGGGAGAAACUUUAUGUUUAACAUGCAUUUAUGAUAAGUUUAUAUAUAUAUUUCUGACUGCAUAAAUAAUAACCAGUGAUUCCCAUCAACACUAUCAAAUGAAUGUUGAAAUAUAAAGUUAGUUAGAAGGCCUUCCUACCAAUUUGAGAUUAUAAUAUGCAUUCUCCCAUAUCUGUUGUAUAAUAAAUUUGUUUAUGAACUAUAACUUAUAAAGUGUCAAUUAAAAAGUCAUAUGAUGUUUUGAUAUAUUUUAUACAUUGUAGAAUGGCUGAAUCAAGCUAAUAAACCUAUGCAUUACCUAA